GAUGAACGCUGGCGGCGUGCCUAAUACAUGCAAGUCGAGCGAACGGACGAGAAGCUUGCUUCUCUGAUGUUAGCGGCGGACGGGUGAGUAACACGUGGAUAACCUACCUAUAAGACUGGGAUAACUUCGGGAAACCGGAGCUAAUACCGGAUAAUAUUUUGAACCGCAUGGUUCAAAAGUGAAAGACGGUCUUGCUGUCACUUAUAGAUGGAUCCGCGCUGCAUUAGCUAGUUGGUAAGGUAACGGCUUACCAAGGCAACGAUGCAUAGCCGACCUGAGAGGGUGAUCGGCCACACUGGAACUGAGACACGGUCCAGACUCCUACGGGAGGCAGCAGUAGGGAAUCUUCCGCAAUGGGCGAAAGCCUGACGGAGCAACGCCGCGUGAGUGAUGAAGGUCUUCGGAUCGUAAAACUCUGUUAUUAGGGAAGAACAUAUGUGUAGGUAACUGUGCACAUCUUGACGGUACCUAAUCAGAAAGCCACGGCUAACUACGUGCCAGCAGCCGCGGUAAUACGUAGGUGGCAAGCGUUAUCCGGAAUUAUUGGGCGUAAAGCGCGCGAGGCGGUUUUUUAGUCUGAUGUGAAAGCCCACGGCUCAACCGUGGAGGGUCAUUGGAAACUGGAAAACUUGAGUGCAGAAGAGGAAAGUGGAAUUCCAUGUGUAGCGGUGAAAUGCGCAGAGAUAUGGAGGAACACCAGUGGCGAAGGCGACUUUCUGGUCUGUAACUGACGCUGAUGUGCGAAAGCGUGGGGAUCAAACAGGAUUAGAUACCCUGGUAGUCCACGCCGUAAACGAUGAGUGCUAAGUGUUAGGGGGUUUCCGCCCCUUAGUGCUGCAGCUAACGCAUUAAGCACUCCGCCUGGGGAGUACGACCGCAAGGUUGAAACUCAAAGGAAUUGACGGGGACCCGCACAAGCGGUGGAGCAUGUGGUUUAAUUCGAAGCAACGCGAAGAACCUUACCAAAUCUUGACAUCCUUUGACAACUCUAGAGAUAGAGCCUUCCCCUUCGGGGGACAAAGUGACAGGUGGUGCAUGGUUGUCGUCAGCUCGUGUCGUGAGAUGUUGGGUUAAGUCCCGCAACGAGCGCAACCCUUAAGCUUAGUUGCCAUCAUUAAGUUGGGCACUCUAAGUUGACUGCCGGUGACAAACCGGAGGAAGGUGGGGAUGACGUCAAAUCAUCAUGCCCCUUAUGAUUUGGGCUACACACGUGCUACAAUGGACAAUACAAAGGGCAGCGAAACCGCGAGGUCAAGCAAAUCCCAUAAAGUUGUUCUCAGUUCGGAUUGUAGUCUGCAACUCGACUACAUGAAGCUGGAAUCGCUAGUAAUCGUAGAUCAGCAUGCUACGGUGAAUACGUUCCCGGGUCU
rnacentral:rRNA from 1 species